AAAAAAAAAAGAUUGAUUCAAUUUCUUUUAUAGAUAUUGACCCAUUCAGAUUGUCUGUAUAGGAAUGGAAAAGCCCUUCCUUCAUCCUCUUAAAGUUUAGGCUAGGUCUGAGGAUUAAAUUGAUGCAAUAUUCACAGGAGAAAAAGAUACAUAAUUACUUACAAGUUUUACAUGGCGUGGGAUCCUCAUAAGAAAACGAAGACCUGAAGAAGUAGUUAGAGUCAGUUACUCAUAUAUAGGAUUGAACAAAGAAAAAUUGUGAAUAAGCAGCUAAAUCAUGCAGAGAGGUUUAAAAGAUAACAUUUUAUUUAAAUAGUCUGCACAGAAUUCUGUUUUGAUUUCUUAUCCUUAAAGGUAAGGAUGUUACAUCUUUCGUGUAUAGGAAGGACAUCUUUUUACAUGGGAAUUUUAUCUUCUUCUAAGAAACAGGGCAGAAGCCAAAGUGAUCAUUUUGUACCUGCUCAUUUUCAAAUGUCUUUAACUUAAAUAACCAAUAUAACAGAAUAGUGUAUUUUAACCCCACUCACCUAUUUUUUCUUGUGUGAUUUUUGGCAUAUUGUAACUAUCAAGGAAUUGGUCUAUUUCACUUAAGUUAUCAAAUUUAGGGCACAGAAUUGUUUACAGUAGUCCUUGAUUAUCCUUUUAAUAUCUAUGGCAUCUGAAAUGAUGACCCCUCUUUUAUUUCUGAUUUUGAUAAUUUGUAUCUCUCUUUUUCCCAUCAGUUCUCUUGAUUAUAUUAAUUGUAUUGAUAUUUUCCAAAGAACCAGUUUUUGGUUUUAUUGAUUUUUUUCUCUAUUGAUUUCCUGUUUUCAGUUUCAUCGAUUUCUACUUUAAUUUUUAUAAUUUCAUUUCUUUUGCUUUCCUUGGAUUUACUUGACCCUUCCUCCUAGUUUUCUAAAAUGGAAGGUAAAAUAGUUGAUUUUAGAUCAUUCUUCUUUUCUAAUAUAUGCAUUCGAUGGUUUAAAUUUCCCUCUAUGGCACAUACCUGUAAUCCCAGUGGCUUGGGAGACUAAGGCAGGAGGAUCGCUAGUUCAAAGCCAGCCUCAGCAAUGGCGAGGUGCUAAGCAACUCAGUGAGACCUUGUCUCUACAUAAAUACAAAACAGGGCAGGGGAUGUGGCUCAGUGGUUGAGUGUCCCUGAGUUCAAUCCCCAAUACCCACCCCGCUCUCCCCCAUAUAAAUAAAAUUCCCUCUAAACACUGCUUUAAUUGCAUCCUGCAAAUUUUGAUAAGUUGCGCUUUCAUUUCAUUUAGUUCAAAAUAUGAUUUCUCUUGAGAUUUCUUCUUUGAUCCACUUAUUAUUUAGAAGUGUGUUUGUUAUUGAUUUCUAGUUUAGUUCCACUGUGUUCUGAGAGUAGACAUUAUAUGAUUUCUAUUUUAAAUUUGUUAAGGUGUGUUUAAUAUGGUCUGUCUUGGUAAAUGUUCCAGGUAAGCUGAGAAAAGUGCAUAUUCUGCUGUUGUUGAAUGAAAUGGUCUUCAUGUCAAUUAUAUCCAGCUGAUUGAUGGUGUUGUUGAGUUCAACUAUUCUCUUAAUGAUUUUCUGUCUGCUGGGUCUGUCCAUUUCUGACAAAGGGUGUUGAAAUCUCCAACUGUAAUAGUGGGUUCAUUUCUUUCUCCUUGUAGUUCUAUCAGUUUUUGAUUCAUGUACUUCGAUGCUCUGUUAUUAAAUAUAUGCACCUUAAGGAUUGUUAUGUCUUCUUGGAGAAUUGACUUCUUUAUCACCAGGUAAUGACUUUAAAAAAAAAAUCUUUGAUGACAUUCCUUACUUUUAAGUCUGCUAGGGUCUAAAACUUCCAUAGCUACUUCUGUGUUCUUUUGAUUAUCAUUAGCAUGGUAUUUUUUUCUCCAUCUGUUUACAUUGAAACCUACAUGCAUCUUCAUAUUUUAAAUGGAUUUUUCAAAGACAACAUAUAGCUGGGCCUUAUUUUUUUAAUCCAUUUUGGCAGUUUGUCUUUCAAUUGGUACAUUUAGUGCAUUGAUGGUCAAAGUGGUGAUUGAUAUGGUUGGAUUAAUAUCUGCCAUUUUAAUUUCUGUUUUCUAUUUGUCAUCCCUUGUUCUUUUGCUUCUAUUUUUGUCUUUCACUUUUUUUUCCUGCCAUUUGUGUGUGUGUGUGUUUAGAAAAAGUUUUAUUGCUUUUCUCACAAAGGAAAAACACAGAGGACUCUUGUCCCAAAGGCUGUGAUUCUCUCAUUUGUGUUUUUAAUUGUAAUUUUUAAUGAUUCCAUUUCUCUCAUUUCUUUGCAUACCAGUUGUGCCCUUUUAAAGUACUUUUUUUAGUAGUUACCUUGGAGGUUGUAACAUACAGUUAUAACUUAUCCAAGUCCCCCUUUAAAUAACACUAUCCCCCUUCAUGAGUAGUGUAAGUACAUUAAAAUAAGAGUAAUCUUAAUUCCUCUCUUCAGUCCCUUGUACUAUGUUCUUGUUCGUUUCACUUACACACAUAUUCACUUAGGCACAUGUACACACAUAUAUAAGAUCUAUA
rnacentral:lncRNA from 1 species